rnacentral:rRNA from 1 species
GAUGAACGCUGGCGGCGUGCCUAAUACAUGCAAGUCGAGCGAACAGAUAAGGAGCUUGCUCCUUUGACGUUAGCGGCGGACGGGUGAGUAACACGUGGGUAACCUACCUAUAAGACUGGAAUAACUCCGGGAAACCGGGGCUAAUGCCGGAUAACAUUUAGAACCGCAUGGUUCUAAAGUGAAAGAUGGUUUUGCUAUCACUUAUAGAUGGACCCGCGCCGUAUUAGCUAGUUGGUAAGGUAACGGCUUACCAAGGCAACGAUACGUAGCCGACCUGAGAGGGUGAUCGGCCAGCCUGGAACUGAGACACGGUCCAGACUCCUACGGGAGGCAGCAGUAGGGACUCUUCCGCAAUGGGCGAAAGCCUGACGGAGCAACGCCGCGUGAGUGAUGAAGGUCUUCGGAUCGUAAAACUCUGUUAUUAGGGAAGAACAAAUGUGUAAGUAACUGUGAACGUCUUGACGGUACCUAAUCAGAAAGCCACGGCUAACUACGUG